GACGGGGGGGGCAAGUGUUCUUCGGAAUGACUGGGCGUAAAGGGCGUGUAGGUGGGUGAAUGCGUUAGAUGUGAAAGCCCCGGGCUUAACCUGGGAAUGGCAUUUAAUACGGUUGACCUAGAGUGCGAGAGGGGAAAGCGGAAUGGCGAGUGGAGCAGUGAAAUGCAUUGAGAUUCGCUAGAACACCAGAGGCGAAGGCGGCUUUCUGGCUCGUUACUGACACUAAGACGCGAAAGCGUGGGGAGCAAACAGG
rnacentral:rRNA from 1 species